CUUUUUGGCCUGUAGAUUGUGAAUUUUUCCCAUACUGUAUUUUAAGUUCCAUGCUUUUCUUUUACCACAAAAAACAAUCCAAUUAACUCGCCAUGUCUUAUCAAGAUUAAAUUACAUCAGAAUAUUUCUUUUUACGCGGCUUGCAAACAGACGGCCAUUAUAGAUCCACUCUGAGUCCUCUGUCCCUUUACAGCCUCUCUCCUCAAACUGCACCCGGAAGUUCAUCACGGACCAAGUCCCCGACAACGAGUCACCCGUUAUAAAAACUCGCUCAAUUACAAAGACUCGACUAUGAUUUGUAAAUCAGCUUGCAUUUUGUACAUUGUAAUGUAAAGUGGUGCUGAAUUGAAAAAAGAAUUUACGCAAUGUGUGUCAAUCGUUAUUUUUAUGAAAUUACUCGUAUUUAUUGUGUAAAAUUAAUUUAUACACUGUUAAAGUGCCAUUAAGGAUGUUUUUUUUCCAUAUACCAAAUUGAAGCAUGUCUCUUCAGGGCUAUUUUUGUACUGGUGUUAUACAAUUAUACAUUCAAAGAACAUAUUGUCUAUGUGUACACUGUAUGUUAUUCAUUAUUAAAAUAUUGUUUAACUAGAACUUUUGUCCAUUUAAAUGUUCUUAUGAUUAUUAUAGCUUUUAGAUGCACUCUUUCUUUGGGAUGAUAAUGUAACUUUUAAAAGUAUAAUGGUCAGUGGUAGCAGAAAAAAGUAACUACAACUUCUUGUUAACUUACUGUAAGCUUCAAGAAAUGCUAUAUUUUCUCUCAUAAACCUUAAGUUUUUAUUCUCAGUAAAUGAUGUUGCACAUUGAGAAAUUAAGGCAGAAUUUGGUACUGAUUAUAAAAAUACAUCAUUUAGAAUGAUUGGACUUUUUAUUAUUAAACACAUAUUGCUUUAGUAAAACAUGGGGUAUGGAUAUAUUGAGAACUUUUUGACCACUUAGCAAAAAAGCUCAUUCUAUCUAACAGAAAUCAAGUCUGAAAUAUUGUGUAAUAAAGUUAAAUUGAUUGCCUAUAAUGUUGGAGAUACUUAAAUUGUUUAUUAUUUAAUAUUUGAUCGUGUUUUUUUUCUAUUACAAAUUUUGUUUUCUUUAUUCAUGAAAACCAGAACAGAUAUAUUUUAAUGUGAUGAGUGUAUAUAUCAUUUUGUGUUAAUGAAUUCUUGACUGGAAGAUUUUGAAAUCAUGCCUACAUUUAUUCAUAUCUUAUUUUUAAAUCUUAAUUGUGAUCUGUGAUACUUGUACAUAAUUGUGAUUCAUUUGCCGGAGUUACUUAUGAUAUGACAUUUAUGAUUUUCAGUUUAAAAGGAAUUGAACAAUUUUGUUUGUUUUUAAUUUGAACACUUGGAAGUUUUUCCCUUUGAUUGCAUUGAAAAUGAAAAUAAAGCCUACUGCAAAAUGCUUUUUUCUGCAUGUAUCACAAGUUUUACGAAAAUAUGCCAAAACACUACUUUUUUUUUUAUUAUUUGCUUUUUCUGGGAUUGUUCAAAGUUUUAAUGAAGCACUCUAGUAUGUAAAAAUCAAUAACAGUUUGAUGUGUCAUUUAAAUUUGAUAUUUUGAAAUAUCAAAGGCUUACAAAUUUUAAGAAAGCAAAAACCAAUUUUUUAGAAAAAUUACUCAUUAUACAGUAGUUACUUACUUGAUUUUGCUAGUUUUUGAAUUUUUUUCAAUAAUCUUUGCAUAUAAUGACCUAAGCUUUAAACAUUUUGAAGCCAUAUCAUGAUUAUUUUUGCCUAAAUGUAACAAUCAUUAGAGAAUUUUUUUUAUGCAACUGUGUAUUCAAUCAAGUCCCAUAUAUAAAGUAACUCAUAACUAUGUAAAUAUGUAUAUUUUUAUUAUUUCUUUAGAUGUACAAUUCAAAAAUAUGCAUCAUUAUCCUUUAAAGACUGAAUAUUGUUGAGAACUUGAAUCAGAGGUCUUGUGAAAAUGUGUAUUUAAGCUAUGCACUUUUUAGAUUAAGGUGAUAUACUGAAUUAUGGAAGAUAAUUUUCUUUCUUAUGUGAAUGAAUUUGAUAAAUGCUUAUUAACUGUGUCGUAGCAAGAGUUUUUCGUUAUAUUAUUGGACUUUGGUUUUAGUUUUCACUUCAAGAAAAGUUGAAAAUGUGCUACAGAACUUAAUGUUAAGUUUCCAGGUAAUGCAUUUACCAUAGUCAUAAUUAUAGGGUUAUUUUCUAUAUAUAAUUUUAGAAGGAACAUAUAAAGCUUUGAAAAUUUUAAAAGAUUAUUUUGUAUUCUUUUGAUUAAUGGUUUGAGAACAUUUGCAAUAUAUAAAUUGAUUGAUAAAUGUUCAUAAACUAACGUUAAUUCAUAUACAUGUAUUAAGGUGUACACCAAGAUUUAGAUAUUUUAUUGUCAACUUAGACUGAGUAUUAUGGAGUAAUUAUUAAUAAUUAAUAAUUAAACUAAUCAGUUAAAAUAGGUAUUUGAUUCUAUUUAUAAUAUUCUUGAUAAUUUUCCUUUUUUUCUGAUUGACUCUGUUAUAUUCAUGGCAAUGUAGCCUUAUUUUCUUGUUUGUAUGCUUCAAAAGACUGGAAGUGCUAUGGAAACAAGUGUGAGAGUGAUUUUUAUUCAGUUUAAUUUCAUUUAAGAUUAGAAAAUAUAUUUUGUCUUAUCACUCAAGAUGCUUAUAUCUAAGUGUCAUUUGAAUUUAUAUUUUUGAAAUGUACUAUAAAAAUAAAACAAAAUCAUUGUACUUAAA